GCAGUGCACAAGGAUCCAGGUUUGAGCCCCUGGUCCCCACCUGCAGGGGGAAGGCUUUGUAGGUGGUGAAGCAGUGCUGCAGAUGUCUGUCUCUUUGUCUUUCUCCCUCUCUAUCACCCACUUCCCUCUUGAUUUCUGGCUGUCUCUAUCCAAUAAAUAAAUAAAGAUCCAAAAGUAGAAUGGAAGGAAAUAAGAAAGGAAGAAAGCAAGUAAGCAAGAAAGAAAAUUAUCAACAUAAAAAAAAAGAAUUUUGGUUCAUACUCCCAGAGGGAUAAAGAAUAGGGAACCUUGCAAUAGAGGGUAUGGGAUAUAGAACUCUGGUCUUUGGAAUUAUGUGUAAUUGUACCCCUCUUGUCCUAUAAUCUUAUUGAUUAUUAAAUCACUAAAAAAAAUGAGAUGACAAUGUCAUACAUGAGAAAAGACAGAAACACCAGCUGUUGGAGAGGCUGUAGGAGAAAGGAACACUCCCACAGUACUGGUUGGAAUAUAAAGUUGAGCACAUGUUGUAGAAAACUGUGGAGACUUAUCAGAAAGCUAGAAAUAGAUUUACUCUAUGAGCCAACAAUUCCUGUCCUAGGGAUAUAUCCAAAGGAAAGCAAGGAACCUAUGUCCAUAGCAGCCCAAUUUGUUCCAGCUGAAACACAGAAGCAUCCCAGAUGCCUGAUACCAAAUGAGUGGUUGUGGUCUGGGAGGUGGCGCAGGGAUAAGGCUUUGGCCUCUCAAGCAUGAGGUCUCAAGUUCAGUCCCUGGAAGCACAUGCACCAGAGUGAUGUCUGGUUCUUUCUCUCUCUCCUAUUAUUUCUCAUGAAUAAAUAAAUAAAACUUAAAAAAAGUGGUCUGAGAGGUGGCGCAAUGGAUAAGGCAUUGGACUUUCAAGCAUGAGGUCCUGAAUUCAAUCCCCGGCAGCACAUGUAACUGAGUGAUGUCAGGUUCUUUCUGUCUCUCUCCUCCUAUAUUUCUUAUUAAUAAAUAAAUAAAUAAAUAAAUAAAAGCAAAAAAAUGAGUGGCUGAGAAAUGGAUGGUGUAUAUAUAAACAAUGGAAUAUUAUGCAGUGAUGAAAAGCAAUUUGCUUAAUUUUAUUAUUAUUUUUAAGUUUCUUUUUUAUUAUCUUUAUUUACUUAUUGGAUAGAGACAGCCAGAAAUUGACAGGGAAGGGAAUGACAGAGAGAAGGAGAGGGACAGAGACACGUGCAGCAGUCCUUCACCAUUUGCAAAGCUUUCCCCCUGCAGGUGGGGACUGGGGGCUUGAACCCAGGUCCUUGUGCAUUGUAAUAUGUGCACUCAACCAGGUGCGCUACCACCCGGCCCCUGAAAGGCAAUUUUUAAAAAGAUUUUAUUUAUUUAUUCAUCAAGAAUAGAGGAGGAGAGAGACAGAGAGAAAGAACCAGACAUCACUCUAGAGCAUGUGCUGCCAGGGAUUAAACUCAGGACCUCACACUUGAGAGUCCAUUACUUUAUCCACUACUCCACCUCCUGGACCACAUGAAAAGUGACUAAUCAUCUCUUUUGCUCUAUCUUGGUCUGACCUCACAGGUAUGUUGAGUGAGAUAAUCCAGAAAGAAAAGGACAAAUAAUGGAUGAUCCUACUCAAAGGUGGAAAUUAAAGUAAAGGAGGACAUCUACAGAAAACAGAAGAGAUCUCUGUCUGGAUACCUGGAGGAGGUCUCCAACCUAUACAUGGAUUCUCUGUCUGAGGAGGAGUGGCCAGAGGAGAUGAAAUCCUGGGGGUAUCUGAGAACCAGGUGGAGGAUGAUGUCCCUGGACACGUGCUCAGUAAGCUCCCUGGAUGGCCAGUGGGAGCUUCCUGCCCAGUCAGCAGGCAGCAGCCUCCCCCAGGGCUGCGUGAAGCUGCUGGUGGGGAGCAGCCCUCUGCACAGUGACAUCUUGCUCCAUGGGCCUCCCAGGGAACUGUGUGCCCUGCACAUACAGAGUGCUGGUUCUUGGGAUGCUGAGGAGAUGUCAUCAGGCCCCUGUUGCUGGGAAACCCUUGAUCCAGAAUCACCUGCAGGUGCAGACCCUUUGGCAGCUCUGGAGCCAGGGCCCUCAGCCAGGACUGCAGGGACCCCAGAGCUGCAGUCUGCAGAGGUCCCUUUGGGUGAGAGCUGGGGCCUCAGAGCUGGUCUUUCAGAGUCAGCUGUGGAGAAGGCUCUGGGCCCUGCUCCCACCCCUGAGCUGGCCCUGCCCUCCCUGGGGGAGACCUGCAUUGCUUUUGUGAUCUACUGCAUGUUCAUGUACCCUUUCCUCUAUGGUUUUAUUUCUCUGUUUUUAAUUUAAUUGAAAUAAAGUGUUUGUUUGUUCUGAAA